CCUACGGGUGGCAGCAGUGGGGAAUAUUGCGCAAUGGGCGAAAGCCUGACGCAGCGACGCCGCGUGAGGGAUGAAGGUCUUCGGAUCGUAAACCUCUGUCAGCAGGGAAGAACGGUCACGGUGCUAAUCAGCAGUGAAUUGACGGUACCGGCAAAGGAAGCACCGGCUAACGCCGUGCCAGCAGCCGCGGUAAGACGGAGGGUGCGAGCGUUCAGCGGAAUUACUGGGCGUAAAGCGCUCGUAGGCGGUAUGUCCAGUCAAGGGUGAAAUCCCCGCGCUCAACGUGGGAACUGCCUUUGCAACUUGCAACCUGGAGUGUGUUAGAGGAUAGUGGCCUUCCAGUUGUA
rnacentral:rRNA from 1 species